rnacentral:lncRNA from 1 species
GUGAAUAUCCCACUAUCUGAAAAUAAUUUUCCUUGCUAUGACCUUUAAGUUUGCAAUGCUCACACUGAAUGUUGUAAUUCCUUUUAGGUUUAUGUUGAUAUGCUUUUGCACUCCACAGGGCAGUAAUUUUAUUUCCAUCCACAACUGGAUUCAAUCCUAUGUUAGCUUCCUUGUGAGUCUCAUCUUCAACUAUCAUAUCUUACGCUUGAUUGAAUGUUGGUUCUACUGACUUCAUUAGGAUUUGCCUCCAUGCCUGCGAAUAUGUAUCAUUUAAUACACUUAGAAUUGAAGCAGUAUUUGUCACCGAAUGUGAUCCACAUAAUCCUUCGAAUUUGGAGUAGGUAUUAUUGCAUUAUACUCUGUCCAAAGCUCCUUCAAUUUUGUGCAAUACAUUGACACAAAAUUUGUUAAAUGUGAGAUUGUUUCUAUUUCUCUAUGCAACUGAAAAAUCCUCAUUCUGUUUACCUUGUCAAACCGUUCCCUAAGCUCCUCCCAAACCAAAUGUGCAUUUGAAGUAUAAGUGAUGCUACUGAGAAGGUUUGGAUACACUUUGUUCAUAUUCCAUGAUAGAACAAUAGCAUUACAAGUUUCUCAUUCCUCGUGUAGCUCUUUGAAUGAUUCCUUCUUACAUGUACUAGUCAUGAACCCUAGCUUCGUUUUGCAAUGCGAUUCUCAUCGACCUCCGCCAUAGUCCGUAAUUCUCGGAUCCUAUCAAUUGAACCGGAAUCAAUACGGAGAUCGGAGU